GGCUCAGGACGAACGCUGGCGGCGUGCUUAACACAUGCAAGUCGAACGGAAAGGCCCAGCUUGCUGGGUACUCGAGUGGCGAACGGGUGAGUAACACGUGGGUGAUCUGCCCUGAACUUUGGGAUAAGCCUGGGAAACUGGGUCUAAUACCGGAUAUGACCUUGGAGUGCAUGCUCUGGGGUGGAAAGCUUUUGCGGUUCAGGAUGGGCCCGCGGCCUAUCAGCUUGUUGGUGGGGUAAUGGCCUACCAAGGCGACGACGGGUAGCCGACCUGAGAGGGUGAUCGGCCACACUGGGACUGAGACACGGCCCAGACUCCUACGGGAGGCAGCAGUGGGGAAUAUUGCACAAUGGGCGCAAGCCUGAUGCAGCGACGCCGCGUGAGGGAUGACGGCCUUCGGGUUGUAAACCUCUUUCACCAGGGACGAAGCGCAAGUGACGGUACCUGGAGAAGAA
rnacentral:rRNA from 1 species